UGGGGUAUAGCAAAGCGGUAAGGCAACAGACUUUGACUCUGGCAGGCGCUGGUUCAAAUCCAGCUACUCCAACCA
rnacentral:tRNA from 1 species